rfam:Hylemonella gracilis ATCC 19624 Contig47, whole genome shotgun sequence.
GACGAAUCUAUUGACCACCGAGCCUGCUGCUUACCGGCAGCAGGGGAGGGUGGCAAAAAGAGGAAUCG